rnacentral:hammerhead_ribozyme from 1 species
GUACUGCUGAAGAGUCCCACACUAGGACGAAACAGCUAUCCAGUAC